AAAUUGAAGAGUUUGAUCAUGGCUCAGAUUGAACGCUGGCGGCAGGCCUAACACAUGCAAGUCGAACGGUAACAGGAAGCAGCUUGCUGCUUCGCUGACGAGUGGCGGACGGGUGAGUAAUGUCUGGGAAACUGCCUGAUGGAGGGGGAUAACUACUGGAAACGGUGGCUAAUACCGCAUAACGUCGCAAGACCAAAGAGGGGGACCUUCGGGCCUCUUGCCAUCAGAUGUGCCCAGAUGGGAUUAGCUUGUUGGUGAGGUAACGGCUCACCAAGGCGACGAUCCCUAGCUGGUCUGAGAGGAUGACCAGCCACACUGGAACUGAGACACGGUCCAGACUCCUACGGGAGGCAGCAGUGGGGAAUAUUGCACAAUGGGCGCAAGCCUGAUGCAGCCAUGCCGCGUGUAUGAAGAAGGCCUUCGGGUUGUAAAGUACUUUCAGCGGGGAGGAAGGUGUUGUGGUUAAUAACCGCAGCAAUUGACGUUACCCGCAGAAGAAGCACCGGCUAACUCCGUGCCAGCAGCC
rnacentral:rRNA from 1 species